rnacentral:lncRNA from 1 species
CCAAUCUAAUAUUCACCCUGCAUAAACAAUCACUAGCAUUCAAUAUUGAUGUCACAUAAGACUCAUAGUCACUCAAAAUUGUUUAAGAGAUGAUAAUGGUUUUUAACUAUUCUAAAAAUAAAAUUAUAAGUAUUUCUAACGAUAAUAACAUGUUAUUGUUGCCUCUUUUAUCGAUGAUGAGUCAUCGGGGUAACUAGUUCCUCUUACUCAUGUAGUCAACUACUGAAGGUAACCAUAAUUGUGAUCAUCCAAUUCAAGCAUGGGUAAUUAAAAGUAACUUUAACGUGGUUCAGGAGUGUGAAGACGGCGCCACAAUCCCAACAAAAGAAAGGACAAUAACAUCAAUAUAUAAUCAAUCAUUCGAUUUAAGAAAUAUAGAAUUAUCCCACCUUUAGAUGCUCUUGACUAUUCUAACUUUAUACGCUAAUUCCCAAUAAUUAGAACACUUGAAACACAAACAAUUUCAUAUUUACAUAAUCAUAUACUCAUUCACAUAACUAAUCCAAACAUUAGCACCAAUUUUUUUUUCAUCUCAUAACUCAAACGAUGUAGCAUAUCCUCAUAGAACUCUAACUGCUCCAAAUUGAUCACGAUUAUAUUUUCUUUUGAAUUAAUCUUCAUCACUUAAAUAUUACAAUAAACUAAAACAGAUAUAAGAUUUCUAAAAUUUUACUUGUACUUUAAUCAUCGAAAACUCAUUUCCAAAUAGUUAAUCAUUAUAAAAAUUAUUAUUUUCAACUUAUAUUUUGAAAGAAAAUUUAUACUAUAUAUAUAGAUAGAUAGAUAGAUAGAUAGAUAGAUAGAUAGAUAGAUAGAGAUGUCACAUAAGACUCAUAGUCACUCAAAAUUGUUUAAGAGAUGAUAAUGGUUUUUAACUAUUCUAAAAAUAAAAUUAUAAGUAUUUCUAACGAUAAUAACAUGUUAUUGUUGCCUCUUUUAUCGACGAUGAGUCAUCGGGGUAACUAGUUCCUCUUACUCAUGUAGUCAACUACUGAAGGUAACCAUAAUUGUGAUCAUCCAAUUCAAGCAUGGGUAAUUAAAAGUAACUUUAACGUGGUUCAGGAGUGUAAUUUACAACAAAUUACAACAACAAAAGAAAGGACAAUAACAUCAAUAUAUAAUCAAUCAUUCGAUUUAAGAAAUAUAGAAUUAUCCCACCUUUAGAUGCUCUUGACUAUUCUAACUUGAUACGCUAAUUCCCAAUAAUUAGAACACUUGAAACACAAACAAUUUCAUAUUUACAUAAUCAUAUACUCAUUCACAUAACUAAUCCAAACAUUAGCACCGAUUUUUUUUCAUCUCAUAACUCAAACGAUGUAGCAUAUCCUCAUAGAACUCUAACUGCUCCAAAUUGAUCACGAUUAUAUUUUCUUUUGAAUUAAUCUUCAUCACUUAAAGAUUACAAUAAACUAAAACAGAUAUAAGAUUUCUAAAAUUUUACUUGUACUUUAAUCAUCGAAAACUCAUUUCCAAAUAGUUAAUCAUUAUAAAAAUUAUUAUUUUCAACUUAUAUUUUGAAAGAAAAUUUAUACUAUAUAUAUAGAUAGAUAGAUAGAAAAUUUUCCCAUAAGUUAAUACUUCUAAAAUAGUUCUAAUUUAUUUUCUUAUUUCCUCAAAACUUACAAAAGCAAAAGUGUAUAUCUAUAUACAUUAAAGUAGUACACAUGAAAAAGCAUAAGACAUAAUUGGUUACGAUAAUGAAUUACAUUAAUUCACAAAUUUACAAAAUAACAGACUCCUUUCACACUAGUUACUCAACAUGUUUAUAGAUACACACUCAGUUUCUAUCAAGCCACAAAAUUGGUCUAAAAGCAUAACACACCAGAUUUUUGAGGCAUGUUCUAAUCUUAAAAAUUGAGUCCCUAAUAAAAAAAAUGCAAUUUUAUAAUUAAAAAUACAAUUCUACUAAAAAAAAACAUUCUACUCAUAAAAUACAUCGAUUAUAGAAUUCAAAAGUUAGAUAACUUUUCAAAACUUUUGUUUUUUCUUUCUUUAGUUUUCCUUUUCCUUACCAGUAAACAUUUUAUUAUUUGACUUUUUUUUUACUAGUACCAUUAUAAAUCAUUGAUAAGUUCUUAAAAUAUAAAACUCUAACGUCAAGUUAAACUCUAAUGAGUUCAUAAUAUUAGA